rnacentral:rRNA from 1 species
UACGGAGGUGGCAAGCGUUGCUCGGAAUUACUGGGCGUAAAGCGUGCGCAGGCGGUUGUGCAAGACCGAUGUGAAAGCCCCGGGCUUAACCUGGGAAUGGCAUUGGUGACUGCACGGCUAGAGUGUGUCAGAGGGGGGUAGAAUUCCACGUGUAGCAGUGAAAUGCGUAGAGAUGUGGAGGAAUACCGAUGGCGAAGGCAGCCCCCUGGGAUAACACUGACGCUCAUGCACGAAAGCGUGGGGAGCAAACAGG